CUCUGGUAUUGAUUGGUGCUUGCAUCAUGAUUUACAUUUGAGUGAGUGGCGAACUGGUGAGUAACACGUGGGAAACCUGCCCAGAAGCGGGGGAUAACACCUGGAAACAGAUGCUAAUACCGCAUAACAACUUGGACCGCAUGGUCCGAGCUUGAAAGAUGGCUUCGGCUAUCACUUUUGGAUGGUCCCGCGGCGUAUUAGCUAGAUGGUGGGGUAACGGCUCACCAUGGCAAUGAUACGUAGCCGACCUGAGAGGGUAAUCGGCCACAUUGGGACUGAGACACGGCCCAAACUCCUACGGGAGGCAGCAGUAGGGAAUCUUCCACAAUGGACGAAAGUCUGAUGGAGCAACGCCGCGUGAGUGAAGAAGGGUUUCGGCUCGUAAAACUCUGUUGUUAAAGAAGAACAUAUCUGAGAGUAACUGUUCAGGUAUUGACGGUAUUUAACCAGAAAGCCAUGGCUAACUACGUGCCAGCAGCCGCGGUAAUACGUAGGUGGCAAGCGUUGUCCGGAUUUAUUGGGCGUAAAGCGAGCGCAGGCGGUUUUUUAAGUCUGAUGUGAAAGCCUUCGGCUCAACCGAAGAAGUGCAUCGGAAACUGGGAAACUUGAGUGCAGAAGAGGACAGUGGAACUCCAUGUGUAGCGGUGAAAUGCGUAGAUAUAUGGAAGAACACCAGUGGCGAAGGCGGCUGUCUGGUCUGUAA
rnacentral:rRNA from 1 species